GAAAUGCGAUAAGUAAUGUGAAUUGCAGAAUUCAGUGAAUCAUCGAAUCUUUGAACGCACCUUGCGCCCUUUGGCUAUUCUGAAGGGCAUGCCUGUUUGAGUAUCAUGAACACCUCAACUCUCAUGGUCUGCCAUGAUGAGCUUGGACUUUGGGGGUCUUGCUGGCCUAUCGUCAGCUCCUCUCAAAUGGAUCAGCUUCCCAGUGUUUGGUGGCGUCACAGGUGUGAUAACUAUCUACGCUUGUGGCUUUCUGCCAUUAACCUUCAGCAAUGGAGGUUCGCUGGAGCUCACAGAUGUCUCUCCUUGGCGAGGACAGCUUUUUGAACAUCUGAUCUCAAAUCAGGUAGGACUACCCGCUGAACUUAA
rnacentral:misc_RNA from 1 species